rnacentral:misc_RNA from 1 species
CAGGAAACUGCCGAUGCACUGAGUGAAUCUCUUUCGAAGCUUCAUCUCACACACCAUGCAAGGAAGGACGUGGAGGCAGAACAUGCCGUGGAGUCUAUGGGUGCCAUGUCAAAAAAUGGCAAUCGUGAAGCUGUUCUGUCAUAGCCGAUUGCAGUUAUGAUCUUGUUUUCUCCAUGUUUUGUACUGUGAUGCCUGGUAGUCCAUGCCACAACUGAUAAGUGCGCACCUUUGAUCUUCAGAGACGGGGCAUGGUUGAUGCGUG